rfam:Ictidomys tridecemlineatus contig006847, whole genome shotgun sequence.
UGUGGCUCAGCGGUAAAGCACUUGCCUGGCAAGUGUGAGGCACUGAGUUUGAAUCUCAGCA